UUGUAGAGCAAUCUGUCUUUAACUAGGGCUCAAUUACUCUUAAAAAUGAGUCCUACAUAGUUUUUCCUUCAAGUCAAGCUUCUUGU
rnacentral:pre_miRNA from 1 species